AAAAUGCAUCAAUCCUAAGGAGAUGUUUUUUGCUCUUCUUCUCCUUUAAUUUGCUAUGGGUCAAGUUACAAAUUCGACCUUUGUGUCUGAAUCAACAUACAAGGAAAAAGGUGAAUGAGGAGAUCUAUAAUAGGAUAUAAAGAAUUCUAUUUCACAAGGUGUAUGUGAACCGCUUGGAUCUUAAGAGAAUGAUAGAAACAAAAAAAAAGUUGAAAAUAAAUUUUUUGAAUGAUUUUACU